rnacentral:rRNA from 1 species
CACCAGCCCCUCGAGUGGUGGGGAUGAUUAUUUGGCCUAAAGCGUCCGUAGCCGGCCGGGUAAGUUUCCCGUUAAAUCCAGCGUCUCAAGCGUUGGACUGCGGGAAAUACUGCCUGGCUAGAGAGUGGGAGAGGUGUACGGUAUUCUGGGGGUAGGGGCGAAAUCCUUUGAUCCCCGGAGGACCACCAGUGGCGAAGGCUGUACACUAGAACACGUCUGACGGUCAGGGACGAAAGCUGGGGUAGCGAACCGGAUUAGAUACCCGGGUAGUCCCAGCUGUAAACGAUGCAUGCUAGGUGUUGGGUUGGCCACGAGCCACCCCAGUGCCGCAGGGAAGCCGUUAAGCAUGCCGCCUGGGAAGUACGAUCGCAAGAUUGAAACUUAAAGGAAUUGGGCGGGGGAGCACCACCAGGCGUGAAGCCUGCGGUUU